GUGAGGUGGAGCGAAUCACAAAACUCGGUCUCAGUUCAGAUUGCAGGCUGCAACUCGCCUGCAUGAAGUUGGAAUUGCUAGUAAUCGCGAAUCAGAAUGUCGCGGUGAAUACGUUCCCGGGCCUUGUACACACCGCCCGUCACACCAUGAGAGUCGAUAACACCCGAAGCCUGUGAGCUAACCUUUUAGGAGGCAGCAGUCGAAGGUGGGGUUGAUGAUUGGGGUGAAGUCGUAACAAGGUACC
rnacentral:rRNA from 1 species